UACGUAGGGACCGAGCGUUGUCCGGAUUCAUUGGGCGUAAAGAGCUCGUAGGCGGCUGCUCAAGUCGAAUGUGAAAACUCGAGGCUCAACCUCGAGCCUGCAUUCGAUACUGGGCGGCUAGAGUCUGGUAGGGGGGAUCUGGAAUUCCUGGUGUAGCGGUGAAAUGCGCAGAUAUCAGGAGGAACACCAAUGGCGAAGGCAGCUCGCUGGAACGGUACUGACGCUGAGGCGCGAAAGCGUGGGGAUCAAACAGG
rnacentral:rRNA from 1 species